rnacentral:snRNA from 1 species
AUCGCUUCUCGGCCUUUUGGCUAAGAUCAAGUGUAGUGGGAUGUAACAUCUAUAAAUGUUUAUUUGCCCACAAUAUGAGACCUACAUGUGUAGAGUAAAUAUUUACAUAAAGGGAGAAAUAGCA